rnacentral:rRNA from 1 species
GUGAACGUUACCAAACUGUUGCCUCGGCGGGAUCUCUGCCCCGGGUGCGUCGCAGCCCCGGACCAAGGCGCCCGCCGGAGGACCAACCAAAACUCUUAUUGUAUACCCCCUCGCGGGUUUUUUUAUAAUCUGAGCCUUCUCGGCGCCUCUCGUAGGCGUUUCGAAAAUGAAUCAAAACUUUCAACAACGGAUCUCUUGGUUCUGGCAUCGAUGAAGAACGCAGCGAAAUGCGAUAAGUAAUGUGAAUUGCAGAAUUCAGUGAAUCAUCGAAUCUUUGAACGCACAUUGCGCCCGCCAGUAUUCUGGCGGGCAUGCCUGUCCGAGCGUCAUUUCAACCCUCGAACCCCUCCGGGGGGUCGGCGUUGGGGAUCGGCCCUGCCUCUUGGCGGUGGCCGUCUCCGAAAUACAGUGGCGGUCUCGCCGCAGCCUCUCCUGCGCAGUAGUUUGCACACUCGCAUCGGGAGCGCGGCGCGUCCACAGCCGUUAAACACCCAACUUCUGAAAUGUUGACCUCGGAUCAGGUAGGAAUACCCGCUGAACUUAAGCAUAUCAAUAAGGCGGA